CAGAGAUGCGGGGGUGCCCGAAAGGGAAUUGGAACACAGGUGCUGCAUGGCUGUCGUCAGCUCGUGUCGUGAGAUGUUGGGUUAAGUCCCGCAACGAGCGCAACCCUUAUCAUUAGUUGCUACGCAAGGGCACUCUAAUGAGACUGCCGGUGACAAACCGGAGGAAGGUGGGGAUGACGUCAAGUCCUCAUGGCCCUUAUGGGUAGGGCUUCACACGUCAUACAAUGGUCGGUACAGAGGGUUGCCAAGCCGCGAGGUGGAGCCAAUCCCACAAAGCCGAUCGUAGUCCGGAUUGUUCUCUGCAACUCGAGAGCAUGAAGUCGGAAUCGCUAGUAAUCGCAGGUCAGCAUACUGCGGUGAAUACGUUCCCGGG
rnacentral:rRNA from 1 species